GAGUGAACGCUGGCGGUAGGCCUAACCCAUGCAAGUCGAACGGCAGCACAGUAAGAGCUUGCUCUUACGGGUGGCGAGUGGCGGACGGGUGAGGAAUACAUCGGAAUCUACUUUUUCGUGGGGGAUAACGUAGGGAAACUUACGCUAAUACCGCAUACGACCUACGGGUGAAAGCAGGGGAUCUUCGGACCUUGCGCGAUUGAAUGAGCCGAUGUCGGAUUAGCUAGUUGGCGGGGUAAAGGCCCACCAAGGCGACGAUCCGUAGCUGGUCUGAGAGGAUGAUCAGCCACACUGGAACUGAGACACGGUCCAGACUCCUACGGGAGGCAGCAGUGGGGAAUAUUGGGCAAUGGGCGCAAGCCUGAUCCAGCCAUACCGCGUGGGUGAAGAAGGCCUUCGGGUUGUAAAGCCCUUUUGUUGGGAAAGAAAAGCAGCAGGUUAAUACCCCGCUGUUCUGACGGUACCCAAAGAAUAAGCACCGGCUAACUUCGUG
rnacentral:rRNA from 1 species